GAAACAGAAAGCAGGCUAUCACCAGGACACAGAAUCUGCCAGUGCUUUGAUUUGGGACUUCCCAGCCUCUGAAACUAUGAGAAAUAAAUUUCUGUUGUUUAUAAGCUAUCCAGUUAAUAUUUGUCA